rnacentral:rRNA from 1 species
AGUGAACGCUGGCGGUAGGCCUAACACAUGCAAGUCGAACGGCAGCACAGUAAGAGCUUGCUCUUACGGGUGGCGAGUGGCGGACGGGUGAGGAAUACAUCGGAAUCUACUUUUUCGUGGGGGAUAACGUAGGGAAACUUACGCUAAUACCGCAUACGACCUACGGGUGAAAGCAGGGGAUCUUCGGACCUUGCGCGAUUGAAUGAGCCGAUGUCGGAUUAGCUCGUUGGCGGGGUAAAGGCCCACCAAGGCGACGAUCCGUAGCUGGUCUGAGAGGAUGAUCAGCCACACUGGAACUGAGACACGGUCCAGACUCCUACGGGAGGCAGCAGUGGGGAAUAUUGGACAAUGGGCGCAAGCCUGAUACAGCCAUACCGCGUGGGUGAAGAAGGCCUUCGGGUUGUAAAGCCCUUUUGUUGGGAAAGAAAAGCAGCAGGUUAAUACCCCGCUGUUCUGACGGUACCCAAAGAAUAAGCACCGGCUAACUUCGUG